GGCCAGGCCUGCGUGGGAGCCGCCGCGGAGGCCCCAGCCGGGACUGGGGCUUUUCAGAAGCGGCACUUCCUGUGGAGUGCGGCAUUUUCCAAGAUGACAUCAUGAUCCUGGAUUUUUGAUUAACUAGCUGGUGACUCUCUUAAAUGAGAGGGCUUAAACUAAAAAUGGUCCGCUAGCGUCUUGAAGCUGAACGAGAAACUGGGGAAGGUGGGGCUGGAGUUUGCAGGUUUAACAAGCACUCCAGGUGAAUCUGACACCCAGGUAGGUCUACGAGCCAUGGAUCCCUGCUCUCACAUGGGAAAUGGGUCCAUUUCCCCAACAGAUGAAAAAUAUCAGCCGCUGUAAACUGAUCAUGUACCGUCAUGGAUGCUGGCCGAGAAUGUUUUGUCCGCUUGCAUCUGCCCAGGAUCACAGCUGCAGAGUUCACACUGGGGAGGCUAAGGCCCUCGGGGCAGAAGUUUGAGGUUCACAUAUUUUCUUUGCAAUUCUCUUCAAAACAUUACUUUAAUGUGUUUGUGCUCGUGUGAAGUGUUGGUGGCAAGGCUGUCUGCAUACAAUGUUUGCCUUGCUUGUACCCCACCCCCCAAAAAAGGCCCCAGCCCCACCCUGGAUGGGUAGCUCAGUUGGUUGGAACAUCAUUCUGAUGUGCCAGGAUUGCGGGUUCGAUUCCUCGGUCCGGGCACAUGCAGGAAGCCACCAAUGAAUGCAUGGAUGGGCAGAGCAACAAACCAAUGUUUCUUUCUCUCUUUCU